UGGGACCGUAUUUUCUACUAGAUGGCGAGGACCAGUGACAGUACUUUUCAAAAUAAUGGGUAAAAAUUGAGUUUGCCAAACAGUUCGUCUGCUUAGGAAAUAGUUAAGAGUCGCUUUGACGUAAGUACGUACAAGUAAAGUAGUGUGGCUUUAUGAGAAACCAAGAUCCCUUUUGCAAAUGGAUAGAGACUAUACUGAACAGGUUUCCCAGAUUGAUAAUUCUAGGGAAUUGAAAGAGAUUGCACUCAUAAAAUUUUUCAAACCUUUUCGUUGCAAAAACUCUUCAUUUGGCUUUUGUAGUUAUAUAAUAGUUGUCCAACUUGUGGGAACCAAUUGCGGCACUG